rnacentral:rRNA from 1 species
UACGAAGGGGGCUAGCGUUGUUCGGAAUCACUGGGCGUAAAGCGUACGCAGGCGGAUCGAUAAGUCAGGGGUGAAAUCCCGGGGCUCAACCUCGGAAUUGCCUUUGAUACUGUCGAUCUUCGAGUUCGGGAGAGGUUGGCGGAAUCCCUAGUGUAGAGGUGAAAUUCGUAGAUAUUAGGAAGAACACCAGUGGCGAAGGCGGCCAACUGGCCCGAUACUGACGCUCAUGUACGAAAGCGUGGGGAGCCAACAGG